GGCCUGAUGGUCUAGUAGUAUGAUUCCUUGUUAGGGUGUUCCUUCGAGGAGGUCCCGGGUUCAAUUCCCGGUCAGGCCC